rnacentral:rRNA from 1 species
UACGUAGGGGGCAAGCGUUGUCCGGAUUCAUUGGGCGUAAAGAGCUCGUAGGCGGCUUGGCAAGUCGGGUGUGAAACCUCCAGGCUCAACCUGGAGACGCCACCCGAUACUGCCAUGGCUAGAGUCCGGUAGGGGACCACGGAAUUCCUGGUGUAGCGGUGAAAUGCGCAGAUAUCAGGAAGAACACCCGUGGCGAAGGCGGUUCUCUGGGACGGUACUGACGCUGAGACGCGAAAGCGUGGGGAGCGAACAGG